UACGUAGGGGGCAAGCGUUGUCCGGAAUCAUUGGGCGUAAAGAGCGUGUAGGCGGCCCGGUAAGUCCGCUGUAAAAGUCCAGGGCUCAACCCUGGAAAGCCGGUGGAUACUGUCGGGCUAGAGUCCGGAAGAGGCGAGUGGAAUUCCUGGUGUAGCGGUGGAAUGCGCAGAUAUCAGGAGGAACACCGAUGGCGAAGGCAGCUCGCUGGGACGGUACUGACGCUGAGGCGCGAAAGCGUGGGGAGCGAACAGG
rnacentral:rRNA from 1 species